UGGACACUUAAUGAUGUUGAUGCUGCUGCUGAAAGCUUUGCGAUUGGAGCCAAACGAUGCUUAGUGACGAACUUGAUGAGAUUAUUCUCCUUGACAUCAGGCCAGUGUAUAUUGUGAACAUCUGAACUGGUUGAGACUUUCCGAUAACAUUCUGCGAUGCAUUCCAUUCAGGCAGAAUAAAGAAAGAGCUUGCUGCUGCUAUGAAAAAGAUCAAUGAUCAACGCGAUGAGGAGAGAAGACAAUACCGUAAGAUGUUCCAAUCAAACCCAACUGGUGCAGAUGAACAAUAAUGUUCGAGAGCUUCAAUAACCUUUUGCAGUUGCAUAUAAUCGGAUAGUGUCAUCUGGUUCAGACCUUCAUUAGGAUCUCUUACCUUCCAGACAAAAUACUACGGAUGGUUCGGGUAU